AUGAACGCUUGCGGCGUGCCUAAUACAUGCCAGUCGAGCGAACAGACGAGGAGCUUGCUCGUCUGACGUUAGCGGCGGAGGGGUGAGUAACACUUGGAUAACCUACCUAUAAGACUGGGAUAACUUCGGGAAACCGGGGCUAAUACCGGAAAAUAUAUUGAACCGCAUGGUUCAAUAGUGAAAGACGGGUUUGCUGUCACUUAUAGAUGGAUCCGCGCCGCAUUAGCUAGUUGGUAAGGUAACGGCUUACCAAGGCAACGAGGCGUAGCCGACCUGAGCGGGGGAUAGCCCGCACUGGAACUGGGCCACGCUCCAGACGACUAAGGGAGGCCGCAGUAGGGUAUCUUAGGCAAUGGGCGAGAGCCUGACGGAGUAACGCCGCGUGAGUGAUGAAGGUGUUCGGAUCGUAAAGCUCUGUUUUUGGGGAAGAACCAAUGUGUACGUAAAUAUGCACGUCUUGACGGUAACUAAUCAGAAAGCCACGGCUAACUACGUG
rnacentral:rRNA from 1 species